rnacentral:rRNA from 1 species
AUUGAACGCUGGCGGCAGACCUAACACAUGCAAGUCGAACGCGUGGCGGACGGGUGAGUAAUGUCUGGGAAACUGACCGAUGGAGGGGGAUAACUACUGGAAACGGUAGCUAAUACCGCAUACCAUCGGAGGUGCCCACAUGGGAUUAUCUAGUAGGUGGGGUAACGGCUAACCUAGCCGACGAUCCCUAGCUGGUCUGAGAGGAUGACAAGCCACACGGGAACUGAGAAACGGUCCAGACUCCGACGUGAGGCAGAAGUGGGGAAUAGUGCACAAGGGGCGCAAGCCUGAUUCAGACAGGCCGCGUGUAUGAAGAAGGCCUUCGGGUUGUAAAGUACUUUCAGCGAGGAGGCGUUACGCGCAGAAGAAGCACCGGCUAACUCCGUGCCAGCAGCCGCGGUAAUUC